GAAGGGAAGUAGCUCAGUGGUAGAGCAUUUACUUUGCAUGCAGAACGUUUCAUGUUCAAUUCCUGGUGCCUUCA